rnacentral:rRNA from 1 species
AGUGAACGCUGGCGGUAGGCCUAACACAUGCAAGUCGAACGGCAGCACAGUAAGAGCUUGCUCUUACGGGUGGCGAGUGGCGGACGGGUGAGGAAUACAUCGGAAUCUACUUUUUCGUGGGGGAUAACGUAGGGAAACUUACGCUAAUACCGCAUACGACCUACGGGUGAAAGCAGGGGAUCCUCGGACCUUGCGCGAUUGAAUGAGCCGAUGUCGGAUUAGCUAGUUGGCGGGGUAAAGGCCCACCAAGGCGACGAUCCGUAGCUGGUCUGAGAGGAUGAUCAGCCACACUGGAACUGAGACACGGUCCAGACUCCUACGGGAGGCAGCAGUGGGGAAUAUUGGACAAUGGGUGCAAGCCUGAUCCAGCCAUACCGCGUGGGUGAAGAAGGCCUUCGGGUUGUAAAGCCCUUUUGUUGGGAAAGAAAAGCAGCAGGUUAAUACCCCGCUGUUCUGACGGUACCCAAAGAAUAAGCACCGGCUAACUUCGUG